UAAAAUAUUUUGCGGUUACCGAACUAUGCCUUUAUUACAAUUUGGUAACUAACGUUUCAUUUGUUACAUUUUGGUAACCGAACUUUACUUUUCAUUACAUCCGGCGGUCACCCAUCCGUUUCUGAUCAAAGUUUGCUUAUGUGGCACCGGAAUUUCAAUUUUUUGUCCCAACUUUGCCACCUAGACGCCAUAUAGACUUAAAAGAUAAAAUUACUGCAUUAACCCUAUAACUUAUAAUUAAAUUCUAAUGUACCAUUCUCCCAAAAACCCUAAAUUCUCUAAUUCUACUUAAAAAAGACGUAUCUGAACUCAAAAAUUAUAACCCAUCUCCAAAAAUAUAAAUCAAGAACAAUUGCUAACACAUUCAAGUUUCUAUCGGUCAUUUGGAAUUUUCAUUCUAUCAAUUAAAGUUCAACUCCUCCAAAACACAUCUUUUUCUCUACCAAGGUUAAUGGAGAAUCACAGCUCCAUACCCAUUUGCCGCUGCAAUAUUCGAGCAGAGUUGAGGACGUCAUGGACUGAUGCAAACCCAGGAAGACGGUUUUAUGGCUGUUAUAAUCAUAAGAGAGGCAUAAGUUGUGAUUUUUUUUCAAUGGUAUGAUCCGCCAAUAGCAAAUAGAGCAAGCAAGGGAAAAUGGAGAUGGUAUCACCUAUGUAUUGCAGUGUUCGUUGCCUUCAUAUUUGGAAGAUGGAGUUGCUAAUUAGGAUGGUGUUCUGUAAUAUUUAAUAAUAUUAGUGCUGGUAAUUACUAAUUAAUGAUUAGAAAGGUGUUCUGUAAUGUUAGAUAAUAUUAGUGUUGAUAAUUAUUGUUUAGAUUGUUCAUUUAGGCUGACUAUUAUCCACAGACUACUGUAAUUUUAAUAAAUGCACUUCUUGAAUGGAUUUUGAUCA